rnacentral:rRNA from 1 species
GGUUAAGCGACUAAGCGUACACGGUGGAUGCCUAGGCAAUCAGAGGCGAUGAAGGACGUGCUAAUCUGCGAUAAGCGUCGGUAAGGUGAUAUGAACCGUUACAACCGACGAUUUCCGAAUGGGGAAACCCAGUGCAAUUCGUUGCACUAUCGUUUGAUGAAUACAUAGUCAAACGAAGCGAACCGGGGGAACUGAAACAUCUCAGUACCCCGAGGAAAAGAAAUCAACCGAGAUUCCCCUAGUAGCGGCGAGCGAACGGGGAGCAGCCCAGAGUCUUAAUCAGCAUUAGCAUCAGGAGAACGGUCUGGAAAGUCCGGCAGUAAAGGGUGAUAGCCCCGUAUCCGAAGGUGUUAGUGUUGUGAACUCGACGAGUAGGGCGGGACACGUGUUAUCCUGUCUGAAUAUGGGGGGACCAUCCUCCAAGGCUAAAUACUCCUGAUUGACCGAUAGUGAACCAGUACCGUGAGGGAAAGGCGAAAAGAACCCCGGCGAGGGGAGUGAAAUAGAACCUGAAACCGUGUACGUACAAGCAGUGGGAGCCCCACCACCAAAGCAUUUUCUGGUGUUGAGGACAACUUUGAAGUGGCAUUCAACACGCGUUGACGGAGCGCUUUUUGCGACGUCCAACACACAAAACAAGCAGUGAAUGUGCUUUGGGGUGGGGUGACUGCGUACCUUUUGUAUAAUGGGUCAGCGACUUAUAUUCUGUAGCAAGGUUAACCGUAUAGGGGAGCCGUAGGGAAACCGAGUCUUAACUGGGCGAAUAAGUUGCAGGGUAUAGACCCGAAACCCGGUGAUCUAGCCAUGGGCAGGUUGAAGGUUGGGUAACACUAACUGGAGGACCGAACCGACUAAUGUUGAAAAAUUAGCGGAUGACUUGUGGCUGGGGGUGAAAGGCCAAUCAAACCGGGAGAUAGCUGGUUCUCCCCGAAAGCUAUUUAGGUAGCGCCUCGUGAACUCAUCUUCGGGGGUAGAGCACUGUUUCGACUAGGGGGUCAUCCCGACUUACCAACUCGAUGCAAACUACGAAUACCGAAGAAUGUUAUCACGGGAGACACACGGCGGGUGCUAACGUUCGUCGUGAAGAGGGAAACAACCCAGACCGCCAGCUAAGGUCCCAAAGUCAUAGUUAAGUGGGAAACGAAGUGGGAAGGCUCAGACAGCCAGGAUGUUGGCUUAGAAGCAGCCAUCAUUUAAAGAAAGCGUAAUAGCUCACUGGUCGAGUCGGCCUGCGCGGAAGAUGUAACGGGGCUAAACUAUGCACCGAAGCUGCGGCAGCGAUAUUUAGAUAUUGUUGGGUAGGGGAGCGUUCUGUAAGCCUGUGAAGGUGUACUGUGAGGUAUGCUGGAGGUAUCAGAAGUGCGAAUGCUGACAUAAGUAACGAUAAUGCGGGUGAAAAACCCGCACGCCGGAAGACCAAGGGUUCCUGUCCAACGUUAAUCGGGGCAGGGUGAGUCGACCCCUAAGGCGAGGCAGAAAUGCGUAGUCGAUGGGAAACGGGUUAAUAUUCCCGUACUGGUGAUAAUUGCGAUGGGGGGACGGAGAAGGCUAGGCUAUCCGGGCGACGGUUGUCCCGGUUUAAGAAUGUAGGCAGGUGAAUUAGGCAAAUCCGGUUCACUACAUGCUGAGGUUCGAUGACGAGUCACUACGGUGAUGAAGUAGCUCAUGCCCCGCUUCCAGGAAAAGCCUCUAAGCUCUAGAUUAUCAUUAAUCGUACCCCAAACCGACACAGGUGGUCAGGUAGAGAAUACUCAGGCGCUUGAGAGAACUCGGGUGAAGGAACUAGGCAAAAUGGUGCCGUAACUUCGGGAGAAGGCACGCUGGCGCUAGGUGAAGUCCCUCGCGGAUGGAGCUGAAGCCAGUCGCAGAUACCAGCUGGCUGCAACUGUUUAUUAAAAACACAGCACUGUGCAAACACGAAAGUGGACGUAUACGGUGUGACGCCUGCCCGGUGCUGGAAGGUUAAUUGAUGGGGUUAUCCGUAAGGAGAAGCUCUUGAUCGAAGCCCCAGUAAACGGCGGCCGUAACUAUAACGGUCCUAAGGUAGCGAAAUUCCUUGUCGGGUAAGUUCCGACCUGCACGAAUGGCGUAAUGAUGGCCAGGCUGUCUCCACCCGAGACUCAGUGAAAUUGAACUCGCUGUGAAGAUGCAGUGUACCCGCGGCAAGACGGAAAGACCCCGUGAACCUUUACUAUAGCUUGACACUGAACAUUGAGCCUUGAUGUGUAGGAUAGGUGGGAGGCUUCGAAGCGUGGACGCCAGUCUGCGUGGAGCCAACCUUGAAAUACCACCCUUUAAUGUUUGAUGUUCUAACGUUGCCCCAUUAUCUGGGGUGCGGACAGUGUCUGGUGGGUAGUUUGACUGGGGCGGUCUCCUCCCAAAGAGUAACGGAGGAGCACGAAGGUUGGCUAAGCAUGGUCGGACAUCAUGCGGUUAGUGCAAAGGCAUAAGCCAGCUUGACUGCGAGAGUGACGGCUCGAGCAGGUACGAAAGUAGGUCUUAGUGAUCCGGUGGUUCUGAAUGGAAGGGCCAUCGCUCAACGGAUAAAAGGUACUCCGGGGAUAACAGGCUGAUACCGCCCAAGAGUUCAUAUCGACGGCGGUGUUUGGCACCUCGAUGUCGGCUCAUCACAUCCUGGGGCUGAAGUAGGUCCCAAGGGUACGGCUGUUCGCCGUUUAAAGUGGUACGCGAGCUGGGUUUAGAACGUCGUGAGACAGUUCGGUCCCUAUCUGCCGUGGGCGUUGGAAGAUUGAAAGGGGCUGCUCCUAGUACGAGAGGACCGGAGUGGACGCACCACUGGUGUUCGGGUUGUCAUGCCAAUGGCAUUGCCCGGUAGCUAAGUGCGGAAGAGAUAACCGCUGAAAGCAUCUAAGCGGGAAACUUGCCUUGAGAUGAGUCUUCCCUGACCCUUUAAGGGUCCUAAAGGAACGUUUAAGACUAAGACGUUGAUAGGUUGGGUGUGUAAGCAUAGCGAUAUGUUGAGCUAACCAAUACUAAUGAACCGUGAGGCUUAACCUG